rnacentral:misc_RNA from 1 species
GAUGAAGAACGUAGCGAAAUGCGAUAAGUAGUGUGAAUUGCAGAAUUCAGUGAAUCAUCGAAUCUUUGAACGCACAUUGCGCCCUUUGGUAUUCCUUAGGGCAUGCCUGUUCGAGCGUCAUUUAAACCUUCAAGCUCAGCUUGGUGUUGGGUGACUGUCCGCUUCACCGCGGACUCGCCUCAAAAUUAUUGGCGGCCGGUACAUUGGCUCUCGAGCGCAGCAGAAACGCGUAACUCGAGGUCCUCGUGCUGGCUCCCAGAAGCUAUCUUCACAAUUUUGACCUCGGAUCAGGUAGGGAUACCCGCUGAACUUAAGCAUAUCAUAAGCGGAGGA